ACUGAACGGAAAUGAGUCAUAAGUGGUAAUCAAGCAUUUCUUUCAGAUCAUAUCUUUUUUUCCUGCUGUGAUCUGUAGGAUUUGCUCUUAAUUCAAUAUCUACCUCCACCGUUAACCAGUGCAGUUACUAUUGGUACUAUAAUUAAAAGAUGGCAAGUUUCCUCUGUGAUUUGGUGAAGAAAUAUGUAGACAAAUUGAUUGAUGGCGCAAUAGCAGAAGCACGUUAUGUAUUUUGCUUCACAUGCAUUGUUAAGCAAUUUGAAGAAGAAAGAGCUACGUUGGAACCACAAAGGAUAACUAUCGAGAAACGUGUCAAAGAUGCAAGAGAAAGAGAUAAAGAUAUUCAAG